GACGAACGCUGGCGGCGUGCUUAACACAUGCCAGUCGAACGGAAAGGCCCUGCUUGCCGGGUACUCGAGUGGCGAACGGGUGAGUAACACGUGGGUUAUCUGCCCUGCACUUCGGGAUAAGCCUGGGAAACUGGGUCUAAUACCGGAUAGGAGCCAUUUUUAGUGUGAUGGUUGGAAAGUUUUUUCGGUGUAGGAUGAGCUCGCGGCCUAUCAGCUUGUUGGUGGGGUAAUGGCCUACCAAGGCGGCGACGGGUAGCCGGCCUGAGAGGGUGGACAGCCACAUUGGGACUGAGAUACGGCCCAGACUCCUACGGGAGACAGCAGUGGGGAAGAUUGCACAAUGGGCGCAAGCCUGAUGCAGCGACGCCGCGUGGGGGAUGACGGCCUUCGGGUUGUAAACUCCUUUCGCUAGGGACGAAGCUUUUUGUGACGGUACCUAGAUAAGAAGCACCGGCUAACUACGUG
rnacentral:rRNA from 1 species